rnacentral:lncRNA from 1 species
CAGUCUCUCUGAGUACACGCGGCUCCUUGUCGUUCUAGGAUUGUGCCCGACGUGGAACAAAGCAAAAUGAUUCUGGCUGAGAGUCAGAAGCAGGAGACUGGGCGGUCAAAGUGCACAAUGGGGAGAAACCCGGGAGAAGAAAAAUGUGAAAACGACUAUUUCUGGCCUGAAUAGAAGUUGCAGGUUUACACUGAGUYUUAGCUCAUCUAGAUUUUUUUUAUUGCUGUGGAAAAACUGAAGUGAUAAAAAAACCUCGUGUGGCUACAGGACAUCAGGCUAAAUCAGCAGGUAACAGGGUCACAUGGAAAGCGACUGUGCGGAGCUGCCUGGCAGGGCAGGCGCAGAGAGCGACGGAGAGGAAGUGCUUCACCCCAGCAGCUAACUGRCCUCGCUGCGUCUCUGCCGAAGCAGUAAGUGAACAUGUAGGAGGGAAGGUGACAGUCAUAGCAUCAUGGCACAACCAGCUGCAGAGGUGAGUCACUUAGCACCACAACAGCUCUUUCGGAGCCAGACUCUCCAAGACUUCCCAACRCCCACCAUCAACUGGGACU